CCUACAGGGGGCAUCAGUGGGGAAUAUUGGACAAUGGGGGGAACCCUGAUCCAGCCAUGCCGCGUGUGUGAAGAAGGCCCUCGGGUUGUAAAGCACUUUCAGUGAGGAAGAACGCCUGGUGGUUAAUACCCAUCAGGAAAGACAUCACUCACAGAAGAAGCACCGGCUAACUCCGUGCCAGCAGCCGCGGUAAUACGGAGGGUGCGAGCGUUAAUCGGAAUUACUGGGCGUAAAGCGCGCGUAGGUGGCUUGAUAAGCCGGUUGUGAAAGCCCCGGGCUCAACCUGGGAACGGCAUCCGGAACUGUCAAGCUAGAGUGCAGGAGAGGAAGGUAGAAUUCCCGGUGUAGCGGUGAAAUGCGUAGAGAUCGGGAGGAAUACCAGUGGCGAAGGCGGCCUUCUGGACUGACACUGACACUGAGGUGCGAAAGCGUGGGUAGCAAACAGGAUUAGAUACCCUAGUAGUC
rnacentral:rRNA from 1 species